UACGUAGGGAGCAAGCGUUGUCCGGAAUCAUUGGGCGUAAAGCGCGCGUAGGCGGCCCUGUAAGUCCGCUGUGAAAGUCAAAGGCUCAACCUUUGAAAGCCGGUGGAUACUGCAGGGCUAGAGUCCGGAAGAGGCGAGUGGAAUUCCUGGUGUAGCGGUGGAAUGCGCAGAUAUCAGGAGGGACACCAAUAGCGAAGGCAGCUCGCUGGGACGGUACUGACGCUGAGGCGCGAAAGCGUGGGGAGCGAACAGG
rnacentral:rRNA from 1 species